UGCCCUUUGCUCUUGAUGUUCACUGUAUCU
rnacentral:piRNA from 1 species